GAGAUACAUGAAGAAUGUUAAGAAGUGAGAAGAAAGACUUGUUUAUAUUUGGUCCCAAAUGGGAUAAGAACCCAAAACCAUUGCUUUGAGGCAGUGAAUGGCUUGUAUAAAGUUAUUUUGGGUUAAAAUAUGUUAUAAUACAAUGAAUUUGAUUGAUUACAAGUGCUAGAGAUACAUGAAGAAUGUUAAGAAGUGAGAAGAAAGACUUGUUUAUAUUUGGUCCCAAAUGGGAUAAGAACCCAAAACCAUUGCUUUGAGGCAGUGAAUGGCUUGUAUAAAGUUAUUUUGGGUUAGAAUAUGUUAUAAUACAAUGAAUUUGAUUGAUUACAAGUGCUAGAGAUGCAUGAAGAAUGUAUAAAAGUGAGAAGAAAGACUUGUUUAUAUUUGGUCCCAAAUGGGAUAAGAACCCAAAACCAUUGCUUUGAGGCAGUGAAUGGCUUGUAUAAAGUUAUUUUGGGUUAGAAUAUGUUAUAAUACAAUGAAUAUGAUUGAUUACAAGUGCUGGAGAAGCAUGAAUAAUGUUUCGAAGUGAGAAGAAAGACUUGUUGAUAUUUGGUCCCAAAUGGGAUAAGAUCCCAACACCAUUGCUUUGAGGCAGUGAAUGGCUUGUAUAAUGUUAUUUUGGGUUAGAAUAUGUUAUAAUACAAUGAAUUUGAUUGAUUACAAGUGCUAGAGAUGCAUGAAGAAUGUUUCAAAGUGAGAAGAAAUACUUGUUGAUAUUUGGUCCCAAAUGGGAUAAGAUCCCAACACCAUUGCUUUGAGGCAGUGAAUGGCUUGCAUAACGUUAUUUAGGGUGAGAAUAUGUUAUAAUACAAUGAAUAUGAUUGAUUACAAGUGCUGGAGAUGCAUGAAGAAUGUUUAGAAGUGAGAAGAAAGACUUGUUGAUAUUUGGUCCCAAAUGGGAUAAGA
rnacentral:lncRNA from 1 species